rnacentral:lncRNA from 1 species
AUGCCACCUAAGUUCAACCCCAAUGAGAUCUAAGUCAUAUACAUGAGGUGCACUAGUAAUGAAGUCGGUGACACAUCUGCCCUGGCUCCCAAGAUCAGCACCCUGGAUCUGUCUCCAGAAAAAGGCUGGAUAUGACAUCACCAAGGGAACUGGUGACCGGAAGGGUCUGAGGAUUACAGUGAAACUGACCAUCAGAAGAGACAGGCCCAGACUGAGGCAGUACCUUCUGUCUCUGCCCUGGUCAUCGAAGCCCUCAAGGGACCAGCAAAAGACAGAAAGAAACAAAAAGCAUUAGACACAAUGGAAAUAUCACUUUUGAUGAGAUUAUCAACUUGCUGGACAGGUGUGGCACUGAUCUUUAGCCAGAGAACUCUCUGGUACCAUUAAAGAGAUCCUGGGGACUUCCCAAUCUGUGGGCUGCAAUGUUGAUGGCCGCCACCACUGUCAUGACAUCAUAGAGGACAUCAACAGUGGUACAGUGGAAUGCCCAGCUAGUUAA